rnacentral:rRNA from 1 species
UGCAGUCGAGCGAAGCUUUUCAGUAGUUUACUACAGAAAAUGACUGAGCGGCGAACGGGUGAGUAACGCGUGAGCAAUCUACCUUAGUUACAGGGAUAGCCCGAGGAAACUCGGAUUAAUACCUGAUAUUCUUUAUAUUUCGCAUGAAAUUAAAAGGAAAGGUCAGCCGAACUAAGAUGAGCUCGCGUUCUAUCAGCUAGUUGGUGAGGUAAAAGCUUACCAAGGCUACGACGGAUAGCUGGUCUGAGAGGACGAUCAGCCACACUGGGACUGAGACACGGCCCAGACUCCUACGGGAGGCUGCAGCAGGGAAUAUUGCGCAAUGAGCGAAAGCUUGACGCAGCGACACCGCGUGUGGGAUGACGGAUCUAGGUUUGUAAACCACUUUCAGGAGGGAAGAAAAUGACGGUACCUCCACAAGAAGCCCCGGCCAACUACGUGCCAGCAGCCGCGGUAAUACGUAGGGGGCGAGCGUUGUCCGGAUUUAUUGGGCGUAAAGAGCUCGUAGGCGGUUCAACAAGUCGGUCGUGAAAGUUCAGGGCUCAACCCUGAAAUGUCGAUCGAUACUGUUGUGACUAGGAUACGGUAGAGGUGAGUGGAAUUCCGAGUGUAGCGGUGAAAUGCGUAGAUAUUCGGAGGAACACCAAUUGCGAAGGCAGCUCACUGGGCCGCUAUCGACGCUGAGGAGCGAAAGCUAGGGGAGCAAACAGGAUUAGAUACCCUGGUAGUCCUAGCUGUAAACGAUGGAUACUAGACGUAGGAACUGGAUUGACGGUUUCUGUGUCGCAGCUAACGCGUUAAGUAUCCCGCCUGGGGAGUACGGUCGCAAGACUAAAACUCAAAGGAAUUGACGGGACCCCGCACAAGCGGCGGAGCAUGCGGCUUAAUUCGAUGAUACCCGUAGAACCUUACCUGACUUGACAUAUAGGUCUAGCUAUAGAGAUAUAGUGUGCAUUAGCGCCUAUACAGGU